GUAAUAAAUGUGUAUAAGGUAGUUGUUGUGAAAUUGUUAGAUUACUUGUUAGAUAUUACUGCACGGUCGGAACUAGAAGCACAAGCAUUUCGCUACACUCGCAUUAACAUCUGCUAACCAUGUGUUUGUGACCAAUAAAAUUUUAUUUGAAGUUUGCUGACGACAUAACAGUGGUAGGCCUGAUCACUGACAAUGAUGAGACAGCCUAUAGGGAGGAGGUCAGAGACCUGGCAGUGUGGUGCCAGGACAACAACCUCUCCCUCAACGUGAUCAAGACAAACGAGCUGAUCGUGGACUACAGGAAAAGGAGGACCGAACACGCCCCCAUUCUCAUCGACGGGGCUGUUGUGGAGCAGGUUGAGAGCUUCAAGUUCCUUGCUAUCCACACCCCCAACGAACUAUCAUGGUCCAAACACACCAAGACAGUCGUGAAGAGGGCACGACAAAGCCUAUUCCCCCUAAGGAGACUGAAAAGAUUUGGCAUGGAUCCCCUGAUCCUCAAUAAGUUCUACAGCUGCACCAACGAGAGCAUCCUGACCGGUCGCAUCACCGCCUGGUAUGGCAACUGCUCGGCAUCCGACCGCAAGGCGAACGGCCCAGUACGUCACUGGGGCCAAGCUUCCUGGCAUCCAGGACCUACAUACUCGGCGGUGUCAGAGGAAGGCUCUAAAAAUUGUCAAAGACUCCAGCCACCCUAGUCAUAGACUGUUCUCUCUGCUACCGCACGGCAAGCGGUACCGGAGCGCCAAGUCUAGGACCAAAGGGCUCCUUAACAGCUUCUACCUCCAAGCCAUUAGACUGCUAAACAAUUAAUCAAAUGGCCACCUGGACUAUUUACAUUGUCCCCCCCCCCCACCUCUCCAUUAGUUUUUUACACUGCUGCUACUCACUGUUUAUUAUCUAUGCAGUCACUUUACCCCUACCUACACGUACAAAUUACCUCGACUAACCUGUACCUCCGCACAUUGACUCGAUACUGGUACCCCCUGUAUAUAUCCACGUUAUUGUUAUUUUCUUGUGUUACUUUUCAUUUUUUUUACUUUAGAUUAUUUAGUAAACAUUUUCUUAACUCUAUUUUCUUAAAACUGCAUUGUUGGUUAAUAAGUAAGCAUUUCACCUGCUGUAUUCGGCGUAUGUGACAAAUACAAUUUAAUUUAUUUGACAGACACAGAUAUACAGACAGAUAGACAGAUAUACAGACUGACAGACAAAGGGACAGACAGGUAGAGGGACAGACAGGCAGAGGGACAGACAGACCAGGGACUCACCUAUGCUCAAUCUUUUUCAGAAUCUGUUUAGAGAGCACAAAGUUUGGAGGCACUUUGAGAGAACCAGCGGCUUUGUGUUUAUUCUCAGUGCUGCUGACUGUGCCCUUGUUGUUUCCAGUGUCACCACUAGGGGUGCUGGUUUUCUUGUUCUCUGGAAGUCCAUCCUUCUGUUUAUGAAGAGUAAUAGUUGUUCCAUCAGGCCUCCUGGAUCUCCUCUGGGGUUUAGUAACAACCACUGGUGGUGAUAUAGGCACAGACUUUCUAUUCUCAAUUCUUCCGCUUGUGCCCGUGCUACCGCUUGUGCCCGUGCUGCCGCUUGUGCCCGUGCUGCCGCUUGUGCCCGUGCUGCCGCUUGUGCCCGUGCUGCCGCUUGUGCCCGUGCUGCCGCUUGUGCCCGUUCUGCCGCUUGUGCCCGUGCUACCGCUUGUGCCCGUGCUGCCGCUUGUGCCCGUGCUACCGCUUGUGCCCGUGCUGCCGCUUGUGCCCGUGCUGCCGCUUGUGCCCGUGCUACCGCUUGUGCCCGUGCUGCCGCUUGUGCCCGUUCUGCCGCUUGUGCCCGUGCUGCUGCGAGUGUCACCAGAAAGGGUUCUAAGUUUAGACUUGAGUUGAUCAAGGGUAAUAUGUGUUCCAUCGGGUUGACUAACCCUAAUCAGUGGUGACUUGGGUGCAGUAUCAGGAAUCAGUGGUGACAUGGCAGUGAUGUUUUGAGGAGGAGGAGCUUGUUGUGUCUUGGCUGGGACAGUGGGGGUGGUCUGGGUCUUGGCUGGGACAGUGGGUGUGGGCUGGGUCUUGGCUGGGACAGUGGGGGUGGUCUGGGUCUUGGCUGGGACAGUGGGUGUGGGCUGGGUCUUGGCUGGGACAGUGGGUGUGGGCUGGGUCUUGGCUGGGACAGUGGGGGUGGUCUGGGUCUUGGCUGGGACAGUGGGGGUGGUCUGGGUCUUGGCUGGGACAGUGGGGGUGGUCUGGGUCUUGGCUGGGACAGUGUGGGUGGGCUGGGUCUUGGCUGGGACAGUGGGGGUGGGCUGGGUCUUGGCUGGGACAGUGGGGGUGGGCUGGGUCUUGGCUGGGACAGUGGGGGUGGUCUGGGUCUUGGCUGGGACAGUGGGGGUGGUCUGGGUCUUGGCUGGGACAGUGGGGGUGGCAGGGUUCUGAGGAGACCUAAGUGAAGCCUUUCUCACUGCUUUCACUGCCGCUAGUCUCUGCUGUGUUGGCUGAGGGUUGGGAGCCACUGGUGCUGGUCUCUGCUGUGUUGGCUGAGGGUUGGUAGCCACUGGUGCUAGGCUCUGCUGUGUUGGCUGAGGGUUGGGGGCCAGGGCUGCCUCCUUCGAUGAUGGGCCCUGUGGCUGAGGUUUUGGUAAAGACGUUGUCUGGGAUGGGUGAGGGGAGCUUAUAGGGGUAUGCCAGAAAGGAGAGGAAGGGGUAGCAGAGGAAGUAGGAACAGCCUGCACACUCAUUGGGCUCUCCGUGGAGAGACUUGAUAGAGAUGGGGUUGCCUGCAGUGAGCACAGAGAAGCUUGCCCCAUGUUUACAGUGAAGUCUGGGAUACCCUUGAACUGACUGGGUGGCACAGGGCUUAAGAGCUUGGGGGUGGAAACCUUAGUGUUGGUCUUUUCUGCCUCUUUCGGUUUUCCCUUCUCAGUGUUGCCACUCCCGAGGCUUUUCUCGGGUUGUUGCUCCUGCUCUGAGUGGCUGUUGCCCAUCCUCUCACUCUAACUUCCUGUGAAAAUGAAAAUAACUAUUAUGUCUCUCUAAUAUAAUUAACCAAUCAAUCAAAUGUAUUUGAUAAAAGCCCUAAAUACAUUAACAGUUGUCACAAAGUGCUUUACAGAUACCCAGCCUAUCAUCUCUCUCUAAUAGGCCAGAUACCCAGCCUAUCAUCUCUCUCUAAUAGGCCAGAU
rnacentral:lncRNA from 1 species